AUUGAACGCUGGCGGCAUGCCUUACACAUGCAAGUCGAACGGUAACAGGUCUUCGGAUGCUGACGAGUGGCGAACGGGUGAGUAAUACAUCGGAACGUGCCCGAUCGUGGGGGAUAACGAGGCGAAAGCUUUGCUAAUACCGCAUACGAUCUACGGAUGAAAGCGGGGGAUCUUCGGACCUCGCGCGGACGGAGCGGCCGAUGGCAGAUUAGGUAGUUGGUGGGAUAAAAGCUUACCAAGCCGACGAUCUGUAGCCGGUCUGAGAGGAUGAUCAGCCACACUGGGACUGAGACACGGCCCAGACUCCUACGGGAGGCAGCAGUGGGGAAUUUUGGACAAUGGGCGAAAGCCUGAUCCAGCCAUGCCGCGUGCAGGAUGAAGGCCUUCGGGUUGUAAACUGCUUUUGUACGGAACGAAAAGCCUCUUUCUAAUAAAGAGGGGUCAUGACGGUACCGGAAGAAUAAGCACCGGCUAACUACGUG
rnacentral:rRNA from 1 species